AAGUCGUAACAAGGUUUCCGUAGGUGAACCUGCGGAAGGAUCAUUACCGAGUUAGGGUACUCUUCGUGCCCGACCUCCAACCCUUUGUCUACCUGACCAGAUGUUGCUUCGGCAGGCCCGCCGCCCCGCAAGGGGUAGCCGCCGGGGGUCCUUACCGGCCCCGGGUCCGCGCCUGUCGAUGGCCCUUCUAAAACUCUUGUUUAAACCAUGUCGUCUGAGUAAAACAAACAAAAUAAAACAAAACUUUCAACAACGGAUCUCUUGGUUCUG
rnacentral:misc_RNA from 1 species